rnacentral:lncRNA from 1 species
UUGGAGCUAGGGUUAGGGUUAGGGUUAGGGUUGGAGUUAGGGUUAGUGUUGGAGCUAGGGUUAGGGUUGGGCUUGGAGCUAGGAUUUUUCUGAGUGCACUGAACCAACUCCCGAGUCUCUAGGACAUUCCUAAAAAAAUUUGAUUUUUUCCCAUAGGAAUGCAUGGGUUAGGGUUAUGGUUAGGGUUAGGGUUGGAGCUAGGGUUAGGGUUAGGGUUAGGGUUGGAGUUAGGGUUAGUGUUGGAGCUAGGGUUAGGGUUGGGCUUGGAGCUAGGAUUUUUCUGAGUGCACUGAACCAACUCCCGAGUCUCUAGGACAUUCCUAAAAAAAUUUGAUUUUUUCCCAUAGGAAUGCAUGGGUUAGGGUUAGGGUUAGGGUUGGAGCUAGGGUUAGGGUCAGGGUUAGGGUUGGAGUUAGGGUUAGUGUUGGAGCUAGGGUUAGGGUUGGGCUUGGAGCUAGGAUUUUUCUGAGUGCAAUGAACCAACUCCCGAGUCUCUAGGAUGUUCCUAAAAAAAUGUGAUUUUUUCCCAUAGGAAUGCAUGGGUUAGGGUUAGGGUUAGGGUUGGAGCUAGGGUUAGGGUUAGGGUUAGGGUUGGAGUUAGGGUUAGUGUUGGAGCUAGGGUUAGGGUUGGGCUUGGAGCUAGGGUUAGGGUUAGGGUUAGGGUUGGAGUUAGGGUUAGUGUUGGAGCUAGGGUUAGGGUUGGGCUUGGAGCUAGGAUUUUUCUGAGUGCACUGAACCAACUCCCGAGUCUCUAGGACAUUCCUAAAAAAAAUUGAUUUUUUCCCAUAGGAAUGCAUGGGUUAGGGUUAGGGUUAGGGUUAGGGUUGGAGCUAGGGUUAGGGUUAGGGUUAGGGUUGGAGUUAGGGUUAGUGUUGGAGCUAGGGUUAGGGUUGGGCUUGGAGCUAGGAUUUUUCUGAGUGCACUGAACCAACUCCCGAGUCUCUAGGACAUUCCUAAAAAAAUUUGAUUUUUUCCCAUAGGAAUGCAUAGGUUAGGGUUAGGGUUAGGGUUGGAGCUAGGGUUAGGGUUAGGGUUAGGGUUGGAGUUAGGGUUAGUGUUGGAGCUAGGGUUAGGGUUGGGCUUGGAGCUAGGAUUUUUCUGAGUGCACUGAACCAACUCCCGAGUCUCUAGGACAUUCCUAAAAAAAUUUGAUUUUUUCCCAUAGGAAUGCAUGGGUUAGGGUUAUGGUUAGGGUUAGGGUUGGAGCUAGGGUUAGGGUUAGGGUUAGGGUUGGAGUUAGGGUUAGUGUUGGAGCUAGGGUUAGGGUUGGGCUUGGAGCUAGGAUUUUUCUGAGUGCACUGAACCAACUCCCGAGUCUCUAGGACAUUCCUAAAAAAAAUUGAUUUUUUCCCAUAGGAAUGCAUGGGUUAGGGUUAGGGUUAGGGUUAGGGUUGGAGCUAGGGUUAGGGUUAGGGUUAGGGUUGGAGUUAGGGUUAGUGUUGGAGCUAGGGUUAGGGUUGGGCUUGGAGCUAGGAUUUUUCUGAGUGCACUGAACCAACUCCCGAGUCUCUAGGACAUUCCUAAAAAAAUUUGAUUUUUUCCCAUAGGAAUGCAUAGGUUAGGGUUAGGGUUGGAGCUAGGGUUAGGGUUAGGGUUAGGGUUGGAGUUAGGGUUAGUGUUGGAGCUAGGGUUAGGGUUGGGCUUGGAGCUAGGAUUUUUCUGAGUGCACUGAACCAACUUCCGAGUCUCUAGGACGUUCCUAAAAAAAAUUGAUUUUUUCCCAUAGGAAUGCAUGGGUUCGGGUUAUGGUUAGGGUUAGGGUUGGAGCUAGGGUUAGGGUUAGGGUUAGGGUUGGAGUUAGGGUUAGUGUUGGAGCUAGGGUUAGGGUUGGGCUUGGAGCUAGGAUUUUUCUGAGUGCAAUGAACCAACUCCCAAGUCUCUUGGACGUUCCUAAAAAAAAUUGAUUUUUUCCCAUAGGAAUGCAUGGGUU